GCUGCCCUAUUGAUCCUUCCUUGGAGCAGUGCAGGGUAGAUCGUUUCUUUGAAGAGGUUUGAGACAGUAGCGCGAAUAAAGCCGCGGAUGAAGAAGAUACGGGAUAUGUUACACUUCUCGGGCUUCGCGGCUCUUGGCUCUCAGCUUGUUGACCUGAGACUCAGCGAUGUCGGCACGCUCCUGGGCUUCCUCCAUCUCAUGCUGCACCUUCCUGAACCUGGACAGGAACAGGCUCAGCUUUUUUCUUGUCUGAAGCGCCAACUGUGGCAAAGUACUGGAUGACACGUUUGGUGUUCACAGUCUUUCCUGCACCGGAUUCUCCACUAUGGCUCCAGUGACAGUGCUGUAAGUCUUAAACUGAAGUAGACCAAGAGCAACCUUCAAAACGGAACACCCAUGUCUACUGUACAUGUUUCAUUGAAUGGCGUUUCCAGGAACUUUUCAUGAAUUCAGGUAAGGUACCGAAAAAAUUCUCACCAUAACUAUCUACUAACAAGAUUUAAAAAUUAAUUUUAUAUAUAUAUAUAUAUAUAUAUAUAUAUAUAUAUAUAUAUAUAUAUAUAUAAACAUUUUAACAUUUAAAAUAUUAAAUAAAAUUACUUAUCUGACGCAUUGACAUGCAUGUUAAAAUGCAUUUGUAUAUGAUGUAUAUUUACAGGCUGAAUUCUGAUUAGCUGUUAUUUGUAUAUUCCGCUAACUGUAUAUCCGUACAAGAACCAUAGUAAAACUAUGACAAUGUUGCUGAUUAAUAUGUGACUUCACUUUUUUUUCAUAUUCUUUUUUUUCCCUUUCAUACUCCUGUCUGUUUGUCUUUUAAGUACCCGAACAUGUGAGUAUGCCGGUGUGGUAAAUACGUGGCAUCUCGGACUAUUUUAAAUCUCAUGGAAAUGUUUAAAUGAAAAUGUUUGUGAGAAAUGUUAAAUAAAACGACGAGUCUGACUGAUCAA